CUUUAACAUAUUCAUUCUUAAAUGAAUAAGUACCAGGCCUUCAAGUACUUUCCAUGUCCUCAAUCCAAACAUUUUAAGUACCCACCAUGUCCCUACUACUACAUACUAAUGAAAAGAAAAACCUACCACACAUAAGAGAUAGUAAUCUCAUCUAUACAGAGGUUCCUGUACUGAUAAUAAGCGCAGGAAACCAUUAGAAUGGUUUGGAAAUUACGAUUUCCUACUAAUAAAAAAAUUUAAAUGCUGGAAUAGGUAAGAAAACUCAAACACAGUGUUUGAAGUUGGGAUAAAGACAGGCUCACUACCUUAACUUUUUCAGUCUAUUUCACGAAGCUGUACAAUCUAUGAAGGUAUCAUCAAAAUCCAUCUCAUCAUCGUCUCCCCUGGUAAAUUGAAAUUAAAAGACACAAAUUUUAACAUUGUAAUGCAAUAGCUUUAGAAAUACAAAUAGAAAAAAUACAUUUACUGAAUGAACAACUGAAAUUCUACUAUACAAAAAAACCUUGUACAAUAACCUUUAUUAAGCAAAUCAAAAAUGAGUAUCAGUGGCUACUGAAUUUAUUUUUUAUCAAGCCAUUACUUAUUUUGGGAUACAGAUUAUCUGAGCAAAAUGCACGAUGCAAGAGGGUUAGUUAAUGCAAAACUAAAUACAGUGGUACCUCGACAUAUGAAAGGCUCAACUUACGAAAAACUUGAGAUAUAAAAGCAAAUACACUCAACUUACGAAAAAACCGAGAUAUGAGAGCAAAUACGAAGAUUUUUUUUGGCUCUACAUACGAAAAUAGUUAAGAGUUAUGAAAGGUUGUUGCUGUAUAGUCCCGAGAUUUGCCUGGACCACCGAGAGCAAUUUUAAAACUCGCGCGCCGCCAACUGAGUAAACUCGCCACCAUCCUCCCGCUCUCCCAUUGGUUCCUGAUGCUAGUCACCGCCGUAAGAUCCUGCUCUCCUAUUGGUCAGCAUCUACCCCAUGUGCUCUAUGUAUUCUAUUGGUAAAAGGAUGCUGUAAAUUGAAAAACUUAUUCAUGCAAUACAUUUAAUAAAAAAAAACAUUAGGUAAAGAUAGAAUAAAGAAUGGAAAUGAAUGGUUAUUAUACUGUUUGGUAGUUUCAGUAGUUGAAGAGAGAUAAUGAAAAUUUGAUUACUGUACGUACUAUGUGCUAGGUGAAAGUGGUUGCUUGGCGAUCGUUCGGUACUCGUAAGUGCUGAAUGUAAACAGAAGGUUGGAGCUUUUUUUUUUUUAUUAUUAUUUAUUAUAGUUAAUGGUUACUUAAUAAUUAUUUGAAAUGAGUACAUGCAAUACAUUUAAUAAAAAAAAUUGUUAGAUAUCAUAAUAUAUAAAAUAAAUCAGACUGCUAUCAUUAAAGCCAAUAAAUACGUACUUUCUAGAAUUCUUCUUCUGUUUUAAUAUUACGUAUAUGUUUCAUUAUAGCUGUCAGUAACUAGGUAUCUCCAUUAGGUAAAGAUAGAAUAAAGAAUAGAAAUGAAUGGUUAUUAUACUGUUUGGUGGUUUCAUUAGUUGAAGAGAGAUAUUAAUGACAAUUUAUGGCUUACUGUGUGCUAGGAAAAGUAGUUGCUUGGCAAUCAUUCGGUACUCGUAAGUGCUGAAUGUAAACAAAAGGUUGGAAGUUUUUUUUUUUUUUUUUUUUGUAUUAUAGUUAAUGAUUAAUUAAUAAUUAUUUGAAAUGAGUACAUACUGAUUAUUUAUAAAUUUCAUUGGCAUAUUCUAAGCUUUUAGCUUCUGGUUUAAAUGUCAAAAUCAUAGACAAGGCUACAGUAGCAACUGCUAACAUAGGCUAGGCUUAU